UAAUAUAUUUACUAUGAGUAGUUUUUGUGGGGGUUCUCUUGGUAGUAAUUGGAUUUAUGGGUAAUAUAGUUUUAAACUUGUAAUGAUGAUUUAUUAUUGUUGAUAGUGAAAGAUGCUUGCCCGUGAAUGCAUUUUUAUAUGAAAAGGGUGAACCACGCAAAUAUUAGUAUUUUAUGUGUUUAUUUUAUUUUUUUUGCUGUUUACACAAUUCUGCAAUGCACAACAAAAACAUUGAAAUCUCAACUUUUCUACGUGCCUUUCUAACACUUCCUUUCCCCCUUUAGUCUGUCUCCUCUUCUUUUCCUCCACAACACAUGCCCACACCUUGCUUUUGAAAAGCAUCCCCCAUUCUAUUUGUUUCCUUGUGCGUUGGUCCCCAACCUUCAUCUUUUCAACAUUUUCCUUGCUUUUCCAGCAGUUGCCUUCAUUUUUCCUUGACUCUUGUAUCUGGACAUCAUUAAAUAUAAUAUUCUAAGUUUCUAACACUGGUAAGUUCUAUUAACCAUUAGCAAUUAUGUGGUGCCUCCAGCACUGCUGUUUAAAUUGUUGACUAACACCAGAACACUGAGUAACCAGUAUGGCUACCCAACUCAUGAAACCUUUUGCAGGAUUUCAUCAAGUUUAUAGCGGUGAAUGGACCAAAUAGGUAACCAGGAUUUUUAAAUUCCAAAAUUUAAGUAGCCUGGCAACAGUGUAGCUUCUUAGUUUUUCAUGUCCAAUUCUGUAGACUUGGGCUGUUAGAAAGGAACAUAUUAGGCAUUCACUUGCCUAUCAGUCUUAUUUUUUUAUGCUUCCUCAAUGCCAAAAACUAUCACUUGAAAGUCCUGCCGCUUCUUCGUAAAUUGAAGAGAAAUAUUUUAUUGGAUUACAGAGCAAUCAAGAAACACAGUCCUCAACGCAAGUUUCGCAGGACUCUCAAAGUGACCAACAGAACAAUCACACAUCAGAGGCUCCUGUAGCAGACUCUGCUUCAGUAUCUGCUUCAAGCAAUGAUGGCCAAAAGGUUUCACGCCAAGAUAUUGAACUUGUUCAGAAUCUCAUAGAGCGGUGCUUGCAGUUGUACAUGAAUAGAGAUGAGGUGGUCAAAACCCUCUUGACACGUGCAAGGAUAGACCCUGGAUUUACAACACUGGGUAGGCUUGUUGAACUUUGUCUUGUAGGUGCCUCAAACCACUUGUUUGAACUGAUGCUGAUGUAAGAUUUUCCAUUAUAGACACACCUCGACCCAUAUAUUGAUAAAAAAAACCUUAACCUAAUCCUAAUUAUUCUUGUGGUGAUCAAUCAUUAGUUAUUUUCUUUGUUCAACAUUCUAACAAGUACCAACAACACAUUGAUCUUAUUUUCUCUGUUCAACAUUCAAGUAUCCUGCACUGAUAUUUUCCUUUAAUAUUCUUUCUUUUGAUUUUUAGUAUGGCAGAAGUUGGAAGAAGAAAAUGCUGAUUUCUUCAGGUCCUAUUACAUAAGGCUGAAACUGAAGAAGCAAAUUCUCUUAUUUAAUCAUUUGCUUGAACAUCAAUAUCAUCUUAUGAAGUUUCCAGUAUCUUCAAAAGUUCAUUUGGCCCCCAUACAAAAUGGGAUUCAUCCCAUGCCCGGUAUGUUUUAACUUUCUAGUAAAGUGAUUGUGGAAAGCAAAUGGUUUCGCUCAUGUUAGGACAAGAGAAUGCAGUGAGUUUGCAAAAACUAUUUCUUUACUUCAAACUGUUUUUUUGCUGAUCUCUGUGUUAGUGUCAUGGAAAAUGUGAUGGAACCUAUUGUUGUUAAUAAUGUUUUGGGUCCUUUUAGUAACUUCCUAACGUUUAGAUGCCUUUGCAUGUAUUGCUAUCAAUAUCUGCAUGCUAAAGUUGAAAAUUAUUACCAUAUUUGCUUCCCUUUUUGUUAUUUCUUCUCACAUUUUCCAUUUGAUCCAAUUUUUCCCUUUAUGUUGGAUCAGUUCUGUCAUGGAUAUUUGAAGCGCUGCCAUUCAUCUUUUUGUGCUAAGUUGUCUUAUUUAACAGAAGUUCUGUGGGGCCUGAAGGUUUUAUGUUUCUUUUCAUUUUUAAUCAUUUUUAUUGUUAUUCAACAUCACUUCUUUGCAGUGCAGUUAACAAUUUACCUAUGGGAUACCCUGUCAUGCAACAACCUCCAAUGCCAGCUCCAGGUCAGCCCCAUCUUGACUCCAUGGGAUGUGGAAUAUCAAGCUGCCAUGUGGUUAAUGGAGUCCCUGCUCCAGGAAAUUUUCAUCCAAUUCGGAUGAAUUCUGGGAACAAUUUGGUAAUGAGGGAUAAUACGCCUGAUAUGGCUCCUGUAGUUCCACCAAGCAGUGCCAUGUCAUCCAUGUCUGAUAUGCCUGUGAGUCCUACAUCAGUGGCAUCCAGUGGUCACUUUCCCUUCACUGCAUCAGAAAUAUCAGGUAUGGGAGUUGACACAUCAGCACUUGAUACAGCAUUUACAUCUGAUGUGGCCAGCUCAGUAGGAUUGCAGCUUGGACCAGAUGGUGGGGUUGGCACCUCCAGAUCAUUAGAUCAGAUUCAGUGGAAUUUCAGCCUUUCUGACUUAACAGCAGAUUUAUCAAACUUGGGAGGUAAAUUGCGGAUAUUUUGUGUUAAUUCAGUUAAAUGCUCCAUGAAAGUUGUGUUAUUGCUUAUUAAAGACAUGUUUUCCCUGCUGGUUUAGAAUAUGUUAUUAUGUAUGUUAAGAAAGCACUGAUAUGUUCUCCUGGAAAGAAAUCUGGGUGCCUGCAUAAGUUGAGAUUUUAUUUCAUGAAAAUAGAAGGCAGAUAAUUGAAAUAUCCAAGUUUUGCAUGCUCCUUCACGCAACUUUUAUGAAGAACACUUUGUUGUUCCUAAAUUUUUUGAAACUAAUUUUUGAAGUGCUGCUAGAUACAACUCAAUGCACCCUCAAUCCCAAUUUGGCAGGAGUCUAUUAUCCUUUGCUCCAGCCUGCCCAAUUUAUGGUUGCUUUUUGAUGCCAGUUCAUUAACUAUGCAUUAGAACUGCAUUAGCUUGAGAAUCUGCUAUUUCAAAGCAAAUUUAGUGGAUUGUCUACAGGAGUGGAAACAAUAAAAUUUCUACCACUAAUGUAUUGUCCAUGACUGCAGAAGUUUUGGUUAGUUGCUGCGGCAAGGGCUAUGCUGCCGCUAUUUCUUUGCAAAUUGGCAAUAUAUCUAACCAAUUCUGGAAAUCUUGUAUGUUUCUUAUAGUUUUGUUUUUCUAGGGUUUUUAUUAAUACAUUACCUUGGAAUUGUUUGCUCUUUUGCAGAUUUGGGAGCCCUAGGAAACUAUCCUGGUUCUCCAUUUCUGCCCUCUGAUUCUGAAAUUUUACUUGAUUCUCCAGAGCAUGAGGACAUAGUGGAGGAAUUUUUUGUGGAUUCUGUCCCUGGUCAACCAUCCCAGUCAGAUGAAGAGAAAUCCUAGUCUAAGGUGAGGUCCCAUGCUUUUUCUGGUCAAAAUUGUUAGGAUCGAAUGAGUUAGAUGAAUAAAUUAAACACUUUCCAUCCACUCUCUAGGGACAGUUUUACAGAAUUGAACAUUUGUAUUGUGGUAACUUUGAUUGGUAUUAGCAUGGGCACAGGAAUUAGUCCUGUUCUUGUAAUUUUUAACACAUCAAUAAAAUGGUAGAAAUGUAAGUUUUUACUUGUUUUUCCCUGGUGUUGUCAAAAUAGAGCUUUAUUGAAUGGGAAAUGACUCGAUCACCAUAACCCUGGAUUGCAAAUGAUGUGUCAUGACAUUAGUGUUCCUAUAGCGGACUGUGGAGUUCCAUUUAUUUAUGGAGUAUUAUGGGAGUUAAUGCUGUAUCUAUUUUCAAUACUUCUUACAGCUUUUCGGGUAAAAAGGUUACUUCCCUUUACCACCAAUAUAUUGAAAAAAAGAAAGAAAAAAGGACCUUUGAAAAGGAAUAUAUAGCAUUAGUCCCUGAAAUGGUGCUUGAUUUUAGUUUGGUUUCAAUCCACCACUGUUGCAACCUUGGACUUCACAAGUGCCGAAAUGGUGGUGAUUACUGUUGGAUCUUACCCUUGAAGACUGCGGUAUUUGAUCGAAUUUCGAAUGAUAUACUCAUGGUUUCCAUUUGGGAGUAGUGCAUUAGUAAUAGUAAUGGAAUGGUGGAUGAGGAAAUUAAGACAUAGGGAAGUAACGGGUAAUUUUUAUAGUUAGUUUUUAAAUUUUAUGUUUCAUUUUUGUGCUUAAAUUUUAAUUUGUUAUUAAAAAUUUUUUAAAUUUUAAUUUUAUUUCAUAAAAUUUUUUUUAAAUUGUUAUAGUAGGUUUUCAAAUUAAAAAAAUAAUGAAAUUAUUUUUUUAUUUUUUUCUUGUAUACUUAAAAAAUAUUAUUUAAUUAUUAUUUGAAUCUAUCAUAAAAAUAUUAGGUUAUCACAACGAUUUACUUCUUAAAAAAGAAAAAUAAUUAAUCUUUCACUAAAAAGUAACUAAAAGGGAUUUUUUUAAUUGAGAAUCUAUUAUUACUUAGAGAAAUUUUUUAUACGACAAAAUUAAAAUUUAAAGAAUUUUUAAGUAAUAAAUUAUAAUUAAGGGAUAGAAAUAAAAAGGGGGCACAGACGCGCUAUGAAAAUCAUUUCGAAAUAAACUGGUUGUAGAUGUCUGUGUUCGAAGGGAAGAAGUUAGAAAGAAAUCCCUAAUUUUCUCUUUCAUUUGCAUCACAUUUUCAUUUAAAAGAAGACUGGUUGCUGGCAUCCAAGUUCUGUUGUUCUAGUUUAACGCAACCACAAUUGUUGAGUUGUUCAUUGCCCAUCUUUCACUGUAUUUUAGUGUUCCCUUUUGGCAAAAAAAUGGAAGAUAGGAGAAGAAGCAAUGCCAUCACCCAUGGAAUCACCUAUGGAAAUGCCUGGUUAGUCAUUCACAUUCUUAACAUUGCAUUGUUUGUUUCCAAAGAGUAAAACGUUUUGUAUCAUAAGAUUGUGUGAACAUAUGGGACGAACCGUUGCCUAUUGGAAACAGAAUCAUGCGCAGCUCAUUGUCAGAAAGAUUGUUGUUGGCGAGAAAGAAAGAAAAUUGGAAUUUUUAUUUUUAUUUUUAAUAAUUAGUUCAUAAAUGACACUCUUUGUCUCUUGAUAUUUAGAAAUAGUGCCUAAAGUUUGAUUCUGUUGAACAUAGAGAGAAGGGAAGGCAGGGUGAUGGGCUGGGCUGGAGGUGGGAUUCACAGCCAAUGAGAUCCUUCAAGGGUAUUUUGAUAUUUUCCUAUUAGUUAACGGCAAAAUGGCUUUAAAAUGAACGAAAAGACUUAUUGAUUGACAAAAUUAAAUUUUAAAGAUUAAAUAAUCUUCUUUUAAACAUUGAGGAUGGAAGUGUUAAUAAAAGUAUAAUAUAGAAACCACAGUUGUAAAAUUAAGAUUCGAAUAGAAAAUCAAAAUCCGUUGAGAAUCAAAUCAAAUUAAUAAAAUUUUUUAUCAUUAAUUAAAAAUAAUAUAUGUACUAAAAAAUAAGUAAAAAAUGUUACAAUAACAUAAUUUGAUAAUUAUAGAAUUAUCAUUUAAAUA
rnacentral:misc_RNA from 1 species